AGUGAACGCUGGCGGUAGGCCUAACACAUGCAAGUCGAACGGCAGCACAGUAAGAGCUUGCUCUUACGGGUGGCGAGUGGCGGACGGGUGAGGAAUACAUCGGAAUCUACUUUUUCGUGGGGGAUAACGUAGGGAAACUUACGCUAAUACCGCAUACGACCUACGGGUGAAAGCAUGGGAUCUUCGGACCUUGCGCGAUUGAAUGAGCCGAUGUCGGAUUAGCUGGUUGGCGGGGUAAAGGCCCACCAAGGCGACGAUCCGUAGCUGGUCUGAGAGGAUGAUCAGCCACACUGGAACUGAGACACGGUCCAGACUCCUACGGGAGGCAGCAGUGGGGAAUAUUGGACAAUGGGCGCAAGCCUGAUCCAGCCAUACCGCGUGGGUGAAGAAGGCCUUCGGGUUGUAAAGCCCUUUUGUUGGGAAAGAAAAGCAGCAGGUUAAUACCCCGCUGUUCUGACGGUACCAAAAGAAUAAGCACCGGCUAACUUCGUG
rnacentral:rRNA from 1 species